UUAGUGCAAGGUGGCUCUCGAUCCUCACUAACUCUCACGAGAAAACUUCAGCAAGAAACUACUCUAGUUACAUGUGUUAAACCACUAUCUUACCUGUAAUAUUCCAAAAUUUUAUGCUCGUUUAAAUUUCUUUUAGGAUAGCGAUUUAAUUUUCAAUAUUAUUUUUGGCCAUAAGAAAAAGGGGGCACCACCUUUGUAGUGGUUAAUACUAGAGGUAGCUAAUGAAUGCAGGCAUUAAGUGCUAAAUGUUGUGUAUACAUGAAGUGAUUAUUAGUAGUCGAAAUUCAAGUCAAGUUUGAAUUUGAAUGAAGUGGAUUAUCUUGUUAGGACUUCAAUUGACCAAAUGAUUAAAUUAUUUUGUUGGGAUUUAUUUUACAAUCUACAAUAUUUAAAUAUGUAGGUUGGAUACAAAUUUAAAUUUGGGAUACACUUUGCUAAUAAUGAAAGGUAGGGGGAUUAGGUUAUAUUAUUUGGAAAAUGAGAGACUUCUUUUGUAAAUCUAGAAUUUGUGGCCACUUAUUACCCUAUAAUCAACCCACUUGUCAUUUAUCAUCACCAUACACUUAUACAAUAGACCAAAUAUGUGUAGAAGCAAGAUUGGAAAAAAAAUAGAAAAUGGAAGAAAAAAGAGGUGAGGCGGUGGAGAUUGGAAAAAGGAAGAAAAAUUUCUUCACUUUGCAAAACAUUUGCACACACAAGUAGAGAGGAAAACCGAAAUUAAGAAAGGAAAGGAAAAGGAAGUAAGCCUAGCACUUUCAAUUCAUAUCUCAAUCGAAGUUUCUUCAAGUUUUACGGUAAGAUACUUUCCAUGCUUAAGGGGUAUUAUUUUUAUGGUAAUAUUUAUGCUUAAGUUAUGCAUGAAAAGCCAUAAUAUGCAUAUGGUGGACAAGUCCACAAAGUUAUAUAUCUAUUUAUGCCUUAGGACAAGUCCGAAGGGCAUCGGCAAGCCGGAAGGUGCAAGUAUGUGUUUGAUUGCAUUCUUUUGUGUAGUAUUAUCAUGAUAAAAUUCAAGCAUGGUAUCUUACUGAGUAUUCCUUAUACUCAUAGUAUUUUAUACUAAAUUUUCAGAUCCAUGAUCGUUGGAUUGAUUAAAGUUAGUUGGCAAAAGCGAUGAUGGGUUAAGGACAAAGAUGUUUUGCAUCGAAAGUUUCCUUUUGUAUGUUUUGUUCGAGGACUGCUUUCCAUCUGUUUUUCUUAUGGUAUUAUAUAAAAACAUGUAUAUGACAUGAUGUAAUAUGGUAUUAAAGUAAAGUUUGUAAUCAUAUCUUUCAUGUUGUGUUAAGAGACAUCUUUUAGAAAAUUUCUCCUUGCAAGUGACAAAAGGCAGAAACGGGACAGUUUUCCGGUCAAAUUCAAAAUGAUGUUUCUAACUCUAUAAACAUCCAUUCGAGACUCUAAAAAUAUUUCUGUGUUCCUCUUUGAGUUUUCUAAGUAUGGCCGCAGGAAUCACUCAAUUUGGAUAAUUAUAGCCAGAGAUAUAAAUUUCUAAACGUCAAGGGGUCAAUCUGGAUUUCCUGUGCAAUACUUCACUGUUUUUAGUAAAACGUCCAUAUCAUAUGAUCUUGGAAAAUUUUCAUAUUUUAAUCUGGAAAACUACUUGAAAUUAUCUUUCUAAUGCCACAAAUUUCAUGUAAAAAAGAGUUGGGAUGAAUUUUAUAAAAAUUGUCAAACUUGCUGCCCCAACUAACCUUGAUAGUGCUGAGGCCGUAUAUGUAAAGUAUAAUUUCAUGUUGACAUGCACUUUUACCGGCCAUCAAAUUUUAUAAGAAUUGUUUUACCAAAUUGAAAAUAAGUUUCUAACAUGUGAUACUUCUAUUUAAGAGUAUUUACAUGUACCAAUGACUGAAGUUAUUAUGUUUAGUACGUGACCCUCGAAGCUUAAGUUCGGGGCGUCACAUUACCACAAGGCUUUUGUGCGCAAAAAGAUUCAGCAAAUGUCUCAACAUCCUAACUUUCAUAACAACAUUAAUUCAUAGUGAUAUAUAUUGUCAUUUAAGAAAAUAUAGUGAAUUGGGGACUUAAAAAAUUUAGACCAAAAAAUCGAUGUAAAUCAUGCAAUUCACAACAAAAUUUAAGUUAAACUCUCUCCCCAACUAAAUAUUACAUUUUCUUCAAUGUAAAAACAUGUCUGUCAAAUAAAGGUAUGGAAAGAUAUCACCUGAGUGCCGAAGUGAAUCACAUGAACUGAAGUAUAAGAAGUCUGAAAGUUUUCAAUGGAAAGGGUGAUGCAGAAAAUGAAAAUAAAAGGAAUGCAAUGAAUAAUACAUGGACUAAAUCGAGAUUGCAUAAAUGAAAAUAAAAAGAAAGAGAAGGGAACGAACUCUCCUUAGGUUACCUCCCAAGCAGCACCUUUAUUUAUUGUCAUUGGCUCCACCCAAUAUUGCCUUCUUCAGCCCAAACAUCCAGUCAGGGCGUUGUCAACCUUCGGCUCAUUGCACCAAACUCAUUGAAAGUAGUCACCGGUGGUAUCCCAUAAUCCUGAAAAUCAUUAAAAGCAGCAUCAAUAUAGCAUAUUCACCAUUAUCAUCCCUUGCGAGAAUUUCAGAAUUUAAAAAGAAAGAAUUUAAAGGGUUGAGGUUAAUAAGCGCAUGUGCUUCCUCCUCAACGAGUGUAUCAAUCAUGUAUGUUUGAUGACACUCAUCAUCUUCCUCAGGCUGUUUCAUGAUAUGAAAGAUGUUAACAUUUAAGGUCAUGUUCUCAAAAGAUAGCUUCAUCAAACCAUUCCUGCAAUUGAUAAGAGCGUUAGCUGUAGCGAGAAAAGGUUUACCAAAAAUAAUGGGAAUCUUGGAGUUAACAUUCACAUUUACUUUCACAUUCAAAACCAAAAAAUCCACAGGGUAACAAAAUUUGUCAAUUUAUACUAGCACAUCUUCAACUACUCCUCUAGGUCUAAUAGUGGACCGAUCAGCCAAUUGUAGGACUACUGUAGUAGGUUUGAUCUCACCUAGAUCUAACAUCGAGUAUAUAGCAUAAGGCAUGAUGUUGACACUAGCCCCUAAGUCGAGGAGAGCUUGUGCAAUCUCAUGGUUCCCUAUGAUACAAGAAAUAGUAAGACAACCAGGUUCCUUAUACUUUGGCGGGACUUUUUGUUCAAUUACAGCACUCACAUGUUCAGUCAAGAAGGCGGUUUUCUUGACAUGAUGCUUUCGUUUUACAGUACACAAGUCCUUAAGAACUUUAGCAUAUGUGGGGACCUGGGAAAUCACGUGCACGAGAGGUAGAUUGACUUUUACUUGCUUGAAAUGCUCUAGGAUUUCACUGUGUUCACUAGAAGAUUUCGAGGUCGACUUGAGGGCUUGAGGAAAGGGCACUCUAGAUAGAUUUUUCACUGCCUCCUCACUAGGGGUGCUCUCUUCUAUGUUAUUGGGAUCCUUCUCACUUUCUCUAAGUUUGGGGAUUGGUUCUAUGACCUUUCCAGAUCUAGUGGUUAUGAUAUUCACUUCCUUCAAGUUGGUCUCUCCUGAUCCUGAAGUUUGUGUCAUGUGUUGCCCCCUAGGGUUCAGAUGAGCUUGUGCUGGAAAUUUUUCACGCUCUCCUACAGCUAAGACAUUAGUUAGUUUGGACAUAUGAGAUUUUAUUUCCUUGUUUUCUUCAAUAAUUUGGGUGAUCAUAGUCUCAAACUUUUGGUUAGUCUUACUCUGUGCCUCUAUAAAUGCAUGUAGAGUGUCUUCUAAAGAGUUUCUAGAAGACGUGGACUGAUAUUGAGGUGCAGUGUAAAUUUUGUUUGCUUGGCCUUCAGAUUUUUAGCUGAGAUUAGGGUGAUUCCGCUAACUCGGAUUGUAUGUUUCAGAAAAGAGAGAAUAAGGCUUUUGGUAUGUGCCCAAGACAUUGCACUGUUCUUCAUAAACUCCCCUCAUCUCAGCGUAGGUAGCGUACUCUUGAGUUGGAUGAUCAGUUCCACCACAAACAAAACACGAUUCUAAAGAUUCAACAUGGGAUGCAUUCUGUGUAGGCUUUGAGUCCCUCGCACGUAAGAUUUUGAGUUAUUUAGUGAGGGAAUCUACCUUGGCUCUAAGGUCAUCCUCCUCCCUAAGAUGAUAAAUACCAGUGCUAUUCGGGUUUCCAGUGGAUCGUGUCCUAUUAGUACUCUCUGUGGCACUAGGUCCAGUCCAGGUAUAGGCUUUUUCAGCUAAGUCAUUUGGGUAGUCUAUAGUCUCAUCCGGAUCUUUUUGAAAAAAUUUCCCAUUACACAUCAUUUCAACAAAUUGACGCUCCCUAGGUAAUAAUCCCUCAUAGAAAUAACUCACAAUGCACCAACUUUCAAAACCAUGGUAGGGACAGAGGGCCUGCAAUUCUUUGUACCUUUCCCACGCUUGAUAUAAAGUUUCACUUUCCUUUUGAGUAAAAGAAGAUAUUUGCUUUUUCAAUGCGGUUAUUUUGUGGUGGGAAAAGUACUUGCCAAAGAAUGCUUGAGCCAUUUCAGCUCAAGUCCCAAUUGACCGUGGUCUUAAUUAAUAUAGCCUGCUUUUUGCUUCUUCUUUAAGAGAAAAUGGAAAAAAUUUAAGCCUCACUGCAUCCAUUAUACCACAUUGAUUGUGAAAAGUCGCAACAACCUCUUCAAAUUCCCUAAUAUGCAUGUAUGGAUUUUCAUUUUCAAGACUGUGAAAGGUGGGAAGAAGUUGGAUCAUUCCCGGAUUAAGGUCCAUGCCACAUAUUAGGUGGAAAUAUGAUACAUGACAGUGUAGAUGUGCGUGUGGGAUGGAGUUAAUCAUGCAAAGUCCUAGUUGGUGCCUCUUCAUGUUCACUAUCAGUCAUGGUGUUAUGUGAUGUAAUGUGUGUGCCAACAGAGUCGGUAUCGAAAAGAGGGUUAGAAAGUGAUUCAAACUCUAGUUGAGGUCAUGCAAUGAAUCGCCCUCGCUCGUCUUGAUAUCUAUUCAUAAAGCACAAAAAUGCAAAAAUGUGAGAAAUAACAAAAUACAACUAAAAAUAAACAAUAAACUAAAAAGAUAAAAGACGAACGAAUUCACCAUUUUGUUAGAGAAUCCUUCAAGUAUUUGUACCCAGCAACGACGCCAAAAUUUGAUUACGCCCAAGGAUUAACGCGGUGAUUCUAGUACAGCUUUGAGGUGUCGUAUCCACAGGGAGAUGAAAAAUUAUUUAAAGGAUCAAAAGCGUAGGGUUUUUGUCGUGAUUUGUGUGAAAAUAAUUUGUCGAUUGGAAUAAACUGAAAUAAAAGUUUAAUAUCAAUAUAUGAAAUAGUGAAGCGCCAAAAUUCCCUCGAUUAGAUUGGUUGAAUCAAUGUUAAUUUUUGCAUGAAAUAAUCAAUUAAAGGUUUUCAUCCCAACACUUUAAUUGGAAAAUUUAACCUUCAAACCUAUUCAAUUUCACAAUAAUUCCCCAAACCUAGAUUUCUUUCAUAAUAUAAUUCCACAAUAAUCGAUUGAAAUUAGAUCCAAAAGCAAUUAUAUAUAUCAAGCAUAUAAUGGUAAAUAAUCACACCAAUAGAAGAUUUAAGAUUGAAAUUCAAUAAGUACUUCAAUUAUUCGAUGGAAGAAACGUGAUCCAUGAAAAUUUAAUACAAAUUAAACCAACCUCAAAAUAUGUUCAUAAGAAUAAGAAAUCUAAAUCUAGAAUUGUUUAAUAAUGAAAGAACACAUUUAAGCAAGAAAAGACAUGAAAUUUCCCAAAUCUAACCGAGUUCCUUCGUGGCUUCACCAUAAGUUUAGUCCUCCAUGGAUUUCUUGAGCCAAAAACCAAAGAAAAGUGAUAGAGAAUGAAUGGUAGGCAUUCUAGUCGAGAUUAGGGUUUAAAAACUUGUGAAAAUCGUGUUUCCAUAAGUGGUUGAGUUGAUUAAGGAAAUAGAAAUUUCAGCCUCGAGGAAUAACCAUGCGAUAGCAUGGUUAUAAGUGUUGCGGUUGCAUGGUAGAAACAUUUUGGUCUCUGGAAUUCAUUGGAGGUGCUUGUGCGACCGCAUGGCUUUAUAACAAUGCGGCCACAUGGUUAUUGCUAUUUUCUCCGCAAUUUUUAGUAUUUUAGUCAUAACUUUCUCUCCCGAUAUCCGAUUGAUGUGAUUCAAGUUGUAUAGGAAAUAUAACACAAAGAAAUACAACUUUGAAGCAGACAUCAUCUUCUAGAUCGAUUGGUUUCUAUGUUAAAAAUAGGUCCUAAUAUAAGGCUGAAAAUCGAUGCGUAACUUUUUCAAUUGGGAAUUGAUUUGUGAAAGACAUUUUGGUCAUAUUUCACUUCUUUUGACUUCAAAUUACACCCAAUUAACUCCUAGAUUUCUUGAGUCAUCAUUCCAUCACCCGUCUCAUUAUGAAUCAUUUGUAACUUGAUCCCUGAACUUUCACUUUCUUCCAUUUUGGUCCUUUUUUGCUCUUUUCUUCUAAAUUUCAACUUUUCUACCAAAAUACUACCUGAAUCAGAGCAUAAGUAUCAUGAAUGCAUUUUGGUAUAAAAUAAUAACAUGAAUGCAAUAAUUAAGAGAGAAAAAUUAUGAUAUUUUGCACUCUAAUGUCUAGCAGUGGCAUCUACUAAUACAUCAAGAGCCCAAAAAAAAAAAAAAAACUGAAACAACACUACCAAAAACACGCCUACAGUAAUAGAUUUAUUACAAGAAGAUGUGCAUGUAAAUGAUGAAUUUAAUUUUAUCUUAUUUUACCUCACAGUCCAUCAGGAUAUAAUCAAAAGGUAGUGAAAUCUUGGAAGCACCAGUUAUGUGUUGAUCCAUGAGACUUUUGUAUAUGGGUAGGGUUGGGCAAAUCUCCCGAAUAGAACCUGACGGUUCUUGUCAAAUUAAAUACUUAAACGGGUAUCUGAAGUGAGAACCGACACGUACGGUUCGAUUCUCAAUUCUAGACCAAGAACCAAAGAAUCGAAUAAGGACUGAAUCUUUCUAUUUUAUAUUGAAUAAAUCAAAUUAUUUUAAUUUUAAUUUUUUCUAAAUAAAUUAACAAAUUAAUAAUUUCUAAGUUCAAAUUUUUGGCCCAAUAAUUUGUUUUAUUUCUAAUUUUUUUAAUUUUUGGCCUAAUUACCCAUUUUAUUUUUUCAUUUUGCCUAACAAGAUCCAAUCCACUAAAUAACCCUAAAUACCUACACUAAAGUGCACAAUGCUGUCUCGACUCUCGAACUCACUCUCGCAGUCUCGUUGACAUUCCAAAACCUAUACAAUCGUCGGCCGAUGCUGUGACUUCCGAUUGAAGCUGUGACCUCUGCCGACCGUAGCGAUCAUUUGAACAAGGUAGUCUACUAGUCUCUGACAUUUCAAAACUAUUGAAUAUGUCAUUAGUUGUAUUUAUAUAAUAUUGUUAUAAAUAUUAAAAAAAUUAAUUAUAGUACAAAAUUGAACCGAAAAGAACCGAACCCGAACGGUUCCAUAAUUAUAUUUAGACCCGACGGUUCCAUAAUUAUAUAUGGAUUCAAGAGUUUUUUCCCCAUUUACACAUGAAAAAGUGUUUGCACCUAGUUGGGAAGCAAAAGCUGUUGCCAUUUUGAGCCCGAUGGGAUCAUCAUCUGCCACCAAGAUUUUUUUCCCUGUCAAUAACUUUUUAAUACUCAUGUCCUCGCCCUUUUGUAAUGGAAGACACUCCCGAGAUAAUUUAUUUGCCAUAGCCCUAUUCUGACUCAUAUCAGCUAUAGUUAAAGUUUGGGAUUCAUGAUGAAUUUUUCGAGGUAGAAUAUUUUUGGCAUUGUAUGUAUUAUUCUCUCUUCUUCGUGCAAACUCGACUCGGAGUCUCGGACCUAGAUACAAUUUUCUUGGGACAUCAAGUUCCUCUCCAUUCUGGCUAGGAAUAUUUUUUGAGGACGAUUUUCCAGCAAUUUGCCUUGUGUGCGUCUUAUUGGCUGCAGCUGAAGUGUUGUAUUCGGGCAGAAACUCAUCAGAAUUGUAUGGGUUUUCUCCUCUUCUCAGUGCCAUGCCCUUUAUUGUGCCACCAAACCCAGGUAAAAGUCCUAUAGUCUAUUUUAAACGGGAGCCAUGGAAUGGCUUUGAUAUGAUUAAAUCCACUUCAGCUAGCUUAUCCUUGUCAAGGCCAUGAAAAUUAAUGCAAUUGGUGCUUGGUUUAUCUUACCAAACUACUCUACUACAGGAGUUGUUACUUAGGUCCUUUCUGAAUUCAGCCAAGCCCUACUGAUAUCACGUAAUGGCUCGGUGCCUAUAUCGAUCACAAUCAAAAUGAAGCUAGAAAAACUUAUAGUACUAUCCUGUCUUUGAAAUGGUAGAAUAUUAUCGGUACCAUCUAGUGAACUAAGGGGCACAUCCUUUGAUUGAGUACUGGAUGCUCUUAAUGAAUCAAUAUCUGAUUUACCUGAAGAGCUUUGGUGUGAAAAGUUUAAUUUUUGUUUGAUUCUCUUGAGAGUCUCCAAAAGUUGUUCGUGGUGCUUGACUGCAUAUGUUUUUAUCCCAUGCCGUGCCAUGAACUUUUGUAUGACUCUACUCCUUUCGGUGCUCUGGAUAAAUAAUACGACUUGAGAUACUUCUGCCUUGGGGCUAUUAAUUUGAUUGAUAGACUCCGAAUAUUGAUAAGAGUCACUUGAUAUAGAAGUACCUUGAACUUCAAUGUCGUCAUCUCGUGCAUUACCAGACAUGCUGGCCUCAGUACAAGUGCUGAGGAAGGCGUUGAACCUAAAACAAGUUCCCCUUUCCCCAGUUUCCUUGUCCACAAUCCUGAUUUCACCUCCCAUUAGAUGAACCUUAAAUCAGGAAAAAAAAAAAAAAAGAAAAGAAAAGCGUAACAGUAAAGAAAUGAGCAUUUAGUUUCAAAGAAACUGUAGCAUGUUUUAAGAUUUAGCCCUUGUUUGGGCUCCAUUAAAACUGCAUUUUGGAAAAAAUACAUUUUUGAAUAGUAAUACUUUGGAAAAUAUGUAGUUAAAAAAUAAAAAUAAAAAAUUGGAAUUACAUAUAAUAUUAAUUUAUUAAAAAAUGUGUGAUUAAAAAGGCGACAAAUUUUGGAGAAUGGAGCCCAAAGAGGGACUUAACAUACUAGAGACUGAACAAUACCAAGUCUUAAACCAGUUCCUUCUUGUCCGAGAGCUAUCUCUUUGACUUAAAUAUAGUUUUCAAAAGUAGACUUUUUCUUCUCUUUUGGAAUCCCUCUCCUUGUGUCAUUCACCUCAAAUAUAUAUUCCAUACAAUUUGAAUCUUGUUGAAUAGUAUUCACCACUCCCGACUGAUUGUGCAAUUUGUCAAUUAGAAAAACGAUCCUGAUAAGCUGCUCAUCCAGUUUUUACAAUUAGAAGCAAGUAUUUCAUUCUCAAAAUUUCGUUUUCUUGCCCAUGCGUGAACUGUUACAUGCCCGUCUGAAGUAUAUUUGACAGCAUUACUUAAUAAGUUGCACAUAAAAUUUACUUCAAUCUUCCACUAUCACCUCUUACAUGAGAAAAAAUUCUUAUUAACCGAGAUAUCAUUGGUAUCCAAAACCACGUCUAUCCCCUUCUUCAUCCAGACACGAUAAUACAAAUCAACCACAUCUUCUAGAAGUUGUUCCAAGAUAAAUUAUUCUUCUUCAAGCUGCAUUUUACUAGCUUCAAUCUUACUUGCAUCUAUAAUGGAAUUCAAUAUACCUGAAAUAACACACUAUUUUUUAAUUGAAAUUUUUGUUUACCUACAACAAGACUAGUAUAACUUAAAGACAAAGCAAAAUUACUAAUAAAACUUCUUUGUGGAAGAACAUAAUUUGAUAGUUACUUUUUACAUUAAGAAACAAACUAUUUUAGAAAUUCAGAAGUCUUAAUCUACAUUCUGAAAAAGCUACUUCUAAGCUUAGCUGAACUUGCUCAUAAAUAUUAUUCUUGAAACCGUACCAACCUAAAAGGUCCUUUGCACAAGCUUCCACUAGUGUCAAAAUUGUCUGCGAUUCUUAUCCAGGCACAACUUGAUAGUUACAUAUUUCUGUCAAACCGAUAAGGCCCGCUAAAGAUGCACGUACAUCGUGGCUAGCACUAGCAAAUGCAAGACUCUUAUUCACUUUCUUCCUUUCCACUUGUUGAGUCGAUUCCUUUUGCCUUAUCAACACAAUACAUAACUUCAUCUCUCGUAUUGCAGGUCGAACAUUCAAUGGCACAGAAGUGAAUAUGAUGAUGGCCAUAUCAACAAAGAUAAGCAUGAGUAGCACGAAGGCAAAUUUUAUGUUCUUCUGAAUGACAACCACCAUAGAGUUUUCAGGUAAAGCUAGCACAUAUACCUAUAAUUCAAAUGAAAUUUUAACAUCUCAAACAUAUGCCUACCUUAUGUAUCUAAUUUAAAUAAAUAUGUAUUCAAGAUAAUUCAUGAAUACGUCUUAAAAGGAAAUAUUAUAAUUAAAUUUAUGCAAAUAAUGAAACAUACCAAUUUCACUCCAGCAAUUUCAACUAGUGAACAGUUAACCACAUACUUCUUCUCCCAUAUGCUUUAUGUGGAGGCUCGAAAUGUAACAUCAUCGGCCUGACACUUUACAUUUCCAACAGUACCAACUUGAUCACCAUUAGAGCUUAGUAAUUGAAAUGAAACUUGAUUUCCAUUCAAGAUCAUACGAGGUUUUGGAAUUCCUCCAGUGAGUACAUUCCCAUCUUUUGUUCGAAGAUAUAAGCUUCCGUUAUAGAAGGCUAUUUCAGUGAAGAAAUUAAUCAACGCUUUCAUUGAAAAUCCUAAAGACACUACCCAUUUUUCAUUCAUACCUGUGGUCUGAGAAAUAGAGAAUCUCGAGAAAUUUCCAAUUGGGAUCCUAUGGAAGCAAAGCCAUUUGUACCAGUCAAUGCUUCUUGAUACCAACUUGAAUUGAUUACAUCAAAAUGAGGUAACUUUAUUGAUUCACCAUAUAGUUUUCCAGUCUCACAACUUGUAGCCUGACUAUACCAACUAUACUUUGUUGUAUUAUUUUCGGUGGAAGAAAAUGUAGAGUUGGAAAACAUAGUAGAUAGUUGAUCGCCUCUUGUAUAGUAUCCGAAGAACAAACCGUUUAAUGAGAUAAAUGAAAUCUUUGAUAGGUGAUGAAUUGUUGAUAUUGCUAAAAAUAAUGUAGACGCCACCUACAUAAUUCAAACAAGAACAUCGAGAUUCUAGCUUCUUUUUGUUUUAGUCACCAACCAAAUGCUAAAUUUGAUAGAUAUAUACCAACCUUGGAUUCAGUCUUUGAAAACUAAAGUUCAUCUUGUUCCAACGAUGAGCUUAAAGAUCAUGCUAAUUUGACAGAUGAUGCAUAAAUAAUGAGGCAGUGUUUUCAAUUAAUGCAGAGAGUAGUUGUUGAUUGAUGUUGUAGAAGAUUAAAUUCACUUCAUUUUUUAUUCUUGUCAUCUUGAUCCAAAAGGGAAUUAUAAAACUGGGUAGCAACAACACCAUUAACAUCUGUUUUAAAGUGUAAAUAGAGCAAUUUAAAUCAUAUUUUUAACAAUAUUCAUAUCUUACAAAUUCAUAUAUAAAAGUGUUACCAGGACAAUGAAUAACCAAACUGGCCGCAAUACUACGAACAAGUUUCUAAUCUUCAUUUUAGACUUAAUUUUCAAUGGGUAACAAUAAUUUGUUCUGGAUCUCCAUAGAAAAGUUAGGUAUUUACAAAUUAUUGUGGCAUAAUAGCGACAUAUAUUCCAUUCCACAAGGAAAAUUAUUUUGAGUAAUUCCCCUUGUGCUCACAGCAGUCAUACAGGUGGCAGAACCUGUAUGGCUCCGUUUUUUUAUCAUUUGCCAAGUAUGAAUUCGUAAUAUGAAAAUAUGGAAUGAGCUAACGCUCAGUAAGCAAAUCUCAUGCAUGCUUAUGAUAUGCGUAUGCGUUACAUGAAAACAAAGGGCAUUUCUCAUUAUGUAUCCCCAUUCUUUCAUUUCUUUAAAACAUAACAUUGACGUCAUGAGCUCACUUAAUGUAUCGCCAAUAACCAAUCAGAAUGUAGUGGGUAGUUAUUAGUUGGAACCCGAUCGAGUCCUACCGAUAGUACCGCAAAGCGGUUAACAUUAACAUUCAUAAUUUAACCGCAAAGUAGUUAACAUUAACAUUGAACAUUCAUCAUUGAACAUUGGUUGAGUGCGCCGGUCCCCCACGCCUCAUUUCCCACUCACAGCUUUCAUGGCAUAUCUUUAAACAUUCACUGAGUCAUUGACAUUUGGAAAUCAUUUUAUUCCUUGAAACUUCAUGAUGCUUAUGGAUGCAUUGAUGUGCAUGAUUAUGCAUGAAACAUUCAUGACAUAAAACGUAAUAAUUAAAUAUCAUGUACACCUAAUAGAAACUUUAAGUAACACAUUCAUACAUUUAAUCAUGUACCAUGUGCAUGAAAAUAAGGGGAGAUUUACUUACCUUAGGUCCUUAACCAUUUAUUUAUUUAUUUGAAUAGCAAGUGAAGAUGUCCCUAGUUACCAACAACAACUUUGCCGGGAAUCCUAUAUCAUUGCCAUUUAUUUAGGGAGAAGCAUACUCAUAAUUUAUUUCUAAUCACGUAAACAUAUCUUAAAUAUCAUAUCAUACUGUUUUCUAUUAAGUUAUAUUAUAAUUAUAAUAACAUCAACAUGUUUAACAAUAUCACAUGAAUCACAUCGAUAAAAAUAGAAAUGAAAUUACGCUACACCACAAAAGGGCUAUUUCCUUUAAAUUUCUAACAAAUUAUGCUUUUGAAUUAGUGCAAGUUUGAUUCAAUAAUAUUUCAUAUAGAAAAAUGCUAAGAAUCAUAAAACACCAGAAUGAAUUAAAUUCAGUGUGACAAAGGCAUCUACGGCCUAAUUGAUAUUGUUUGAUUAAUAAUUAUUAGCAUAAUGAAGUUUAACUAAUCCAGCAUCAAAGAUGUCCUUUAACCGAGAAUUAGGAAUCAUACCCCCCUAAAAUUAAUUAUUCAAGCAACUUCAUCUUCUCUCCUAAUUGAGAUUUAUUAUUCGUACAUGAAUUAUAAAUUUGAGUAACGCUACGAACAAAAAUUGAAUCGUUUAUUCGAGUUAAGAUAAACUUAAAAUGAUUGUAUGAAUCAAAACGCUAGAUAAAUUUGACAUAAAAAUAACUGAAAUAAUAGAAAUAUAAAAAAAGGACUUUUACUAUAACCCGCUAUAUGAUUCAAGAUUUAAUAGCACAAAGAUUCUUCUCUUGUUUAAACCUAUCCCAAGUAGGACAUGAAAUAUAAAGUAAAUAUUUAAAAUUGCUAGGAGACAAGAAAUCAUAUAAGCAUUUAGAUUAAUAUCCAUUUUAUAUAAACGAAUCAUGAUACAGAUAAGCAUAUUGAUAAAUAUUAUUCUAAAAAGUAUAUAAUAAAACAAAUAAAAUAACUAACCUCAUUAUUUAUUGGGGAAGGAGUACCGCUUAUGUUUGUUGAAAUGAUUAUUACAACGAUUUUCUUCAUUAUAACAAAACCACGGAAGUGGAGAAAGUUUUUAUGAUUUGUGAUUCUAAGAGAUAAUGAGUAAUUUUCAUUUUGCAAAUAAUACAAGAACAAUUAAUGGGGCAGCCAUCGGACGUCUCUGGCCUUGGAGAAAUGGAAAAGUAUAACUAAUUUAUUUUGUAGAUCAAAGUAUCCAAAUUAGAAAAGUCAAUUUUCCAUUUUACAACAUUCAUUUCCGUUUAUUACAAUAAAGUAGUACCCCAUUUUCUUCCAUUAAUUUAUUCAUUUACCAGAUCAAUGACUAACUAUUGACCGAAUAAUU
rnacentral:lncRNA from 1 species